GGGGAUGUAGCUCAGUUGGUUAGAGUGCCUGCCUGUCACGCAGGAUGUCGCGAGUUCAAGUCUCGUCAUUCCCGCCA
rnacentral:tRNA from 2 species